ACCUACGGGGGGCAGCAGUCGGGAAUAUUGCGCAAUGGAGGAAACUCUGACGCAGUGACGCCGCGUAUAGGAAGAAGGUUUUCGGAUUGUAAACUAUUGUCGUUAGGGAAGAUAAAAGACAGUACCUAAGGAAGAAGCCCCGGCUAACUACGUGCCAGCAGCCGCGGUAAUACGUAGGGGGCAAGCGUUAUCCGGAUUUACUGGGUGUAAAGGGAGCGUAGACGGUUAUGCAAGUCUGGAGUGAAAGGCGGGGGCUCAACCCCCGGACUGCUCUGGAAACUGUAGAACUAGAGUGCAGGAGGGGG
rnacentral:rRNA from 1 species